CUGUGGGCAGCACGGGCGGGGGACACGCAGGGGUGGCUGCGCCGCAGGGAGUGGAAGCACCACAGGGGGCCAUGAGCAGGGCUGGAAGGAGCUGCAGCCCUCUGAGGGGUGAAAUGGGGAGCCAGCUGGGAUCUUCUAAAAAAAAGAGUCUCCACGGUGCGUAGAACUCUGUAGAAGGCAAACCCUGAAGGACAGUGGAAAUGGAAAGUAUGAGGUCAUUAUUUAUCUGCCACCUGCCAGUGUGGAGCUGUUCCCUAACCUGUAUUUUUUAGUGCUUUCCAGUCUUGUCCUAAGCGUCCCCUUUUAAAAAAAAAAUCAUUUCCGGGUCAUUUCAGACCUUCUCGAGCAAUCUUCCACUCCACAGAAAGUACAGUGUUUCAACAACAAGCCAGCAGGUUAUAGUUUCUUUCAACGUUCAGGAAUUCUCAUUAGCAAAGCAUUUGUAUGUGGCAGCUCAGUAAAACUGAAGUGUUUUCCAUAUGUCUGGUGGCUAUUGUCCUCGAAUUGUUUACUGCUGCUCUCCUGCUGGCUAACAAAGGAUGGAUUUUGCAGUAUUACCUUUCAGCGGGGGAUCGAAACAGCUGGAGAGGGAGGAGGAAGAUGGCAGAGUUUUCUCCCAGCAAUACGGGAAACGUGAAUUACCCAAAGGAAUUGCUGCUCAUACGUGAUUCUGCCUGCCCCACAGUGAACUGAGAUGUUAAAGGAAAAAAACACAUCUGUGCACUGGUCUGCUUAGAGACUAGCUUCGACUGGCUUGCAAACAAAAAGUGUGUUAUCAGAUCAUUCAGCGCUGCCAAGUUCUGCUCCAAUGCCAGCGCCACUUUGAGAUGCCCCUGUUGCUGUUAGUGAGGAUCCACUGUAACACACUGAUUUUACUUCUCUGAGUGACGCUUGUCUUUUCAGUUUCUCAUACAUAAGAUCAGUAAAUGAGGGGCUAAAAUUCAUGCCAGUAGCAAUCAAUAUGAGUUUCAGAAUGUUGAUUAUUUAAUGUUAAAUAAUCAUGUUAAAUUAAUGUUUAAUAGCAAUGUUAAAUAAUGUAAAUCGAAUUAUAAUUAUUUAAUUAAAAGACCUUUGUGUGGAUUCCGACUCUGUGCGCUUAUUGGCAGGCUGCACCAGGCACGAACCUACAGGUAACAGUUUGAGUAAUUCACAUCACUUUCCCAUUGAGAGCUGAUGUAUUUUACGAUGUAUGUGUUUCCAGGACAUUUAUUCAGUGGGCUUAACUUUGAUGCAUACUACUAAAACUGCGUAUUGUGCUCACUAAACUUCUGGAGGCCAGUGUUGUUUCUUUUUCGACCACACAUCAGACUAAGAUAUUUCAUUGCUUUAGGUCUUUAUGUCUAUCAUUUGAGCAUCCCAGGUCCUCUGAAAAAAAGUAAAACAGAAACAAAUAGAGAGGCAUUUGUUUUCUGUUUCAACUAUACUAAAACUAUUAAUAUAGAAUACUUUUUUUUAGAAGUCUGCUGAAGAGGUCAAGUAUUGGGACUAAUUCAACAAGAACUGAAGGGCUAUAUUUCUGGGCAACUUCUCUGAACGCUGGCUGCCACUCUGACUUCCUUAAUUAGCAUGUUUUCUCCAGCAAACAUAUUCAACAAAUGAGUUUCACUAAAAAGAGAAAAAAAAAAGGCAAACGCUCUAUAGAAACUUUUCUAUAUUGCUUGUAUUCCAGGAAGCAAAUUUAAUUCUCUAACUU
rnacentral:lncRNA from 1 species